CCUAACACAUGCAAGUCGAGCGGAUGAAGGGAGCUUGCUCCUGGAUUCAGCGGCGGACGGGUGAGUAAUGCCUAGGAAUCUGCCUGGUAGUGGGGGAUAACGUCCGGAAACGGGCGCUAAUACCGCAUACGUCCUGAGGGAGAAAGUGGGGGAUCUUCGGACCUCACGCUAUCAGAUGAGCCUAGGUCGGAUUAGCUAGUUGGUGGGGUAAAGGCCUACCAAGGCGACGAUCCGUAACUGGUCUGAGAGGAUGAUCAGUCACACUGGAACUGAGACACGGUCCAGACUCCUACGGGAGGCAGCAGUGGGGAAUAUUGGACAAUGGGCGAAAGCCUGAUCCAGCCAUGCCGCGUGUGUGAAGAAGGUCUUCGGAUUGUAAAGCACUUUAAGUUGGGAGGAAGGGCAGUAAGUUAAUACCUUGCUGUUUUGACGUUACCAACAGAAUAAGCACCGGCUAACUUCGUGCCAGCAGCCGCGGUAAUACGAAGGGUGCAAGCGUUAAUCGGAAUUACUGGGCGUAAAGCGCGCGUAGGUGGUUCAGCAAGUUGGAUGUGAAAUCCCCGGGCUCAACCUGGGAACUGCAUCCAAAACUACUGAGCUAGAGUACGGUAGAGGGUGGUGGAAUUUCCUGUGUAGCGGUGAAAUGCGUAGAUAUAGGAAGGAACACCAGUGGCGAAGGCGACCACCUGGACUGAUACUGACACUGAG
rnacentral:rRNA from 1 species